rnacentral:rRNA from 1 species
GAUUGGCGGACGGGUGAGUAACACGUGGGUAACAUGCCCAUAAGAGGGGGAUAACAUCCGGAAACGGGUGCUAAUACCGCAUAGUUUUCUUGAUCGCAUGAUUGAGAAAGGAAAGACGGCCUUUGUGCUGUCGCUUAUGGAUGGACCCGCGGCGUAUUAGUUAGUUGGUGAGGUAAUGGCUCACCAAGCCGAUGAUACGUAGCCGACCUGAGAGGGUGAUCGGCCACAUUGGGACUGAGACACGGCCCAAACUCCUACGGGAGGCAGCAGUAGGGAAUCUUCCGCAAUGGACGAAAGUCUGACGGAGCAACGCCACGUGAGUGAAGAAGGUUUUCGGAUCGUAAAACUCUGUUGUCAGAGAAGAACAAGUUGGAGAGUAACUGCUCCAGCCUUGCCGGUAUCUGACCAGAAAGCCACGGCUAAGUACGUGCCAGCAGCCGCGGUAAUAAU